AUCCAGAUGACGAGUCCCAAAUAGAACGAAACGCGCGUACAACUGGAU
rfam:Schistosoma margrebowiei strain Zambia genome assembly, scaffold: SMRZ_contig0000909